GAUGAACGCUAGCUACAGGCUUAACACAUGCAAGUCGAGGGGCAGCGGGAACUUAGCUUGCUAAGUUUGCCGGCGACCGGCGCACGGGUGAGUAACACGUAUCCAACCUGGCCCAUACUCGGGUAUAGCCUCUCGAAAGGGAGAUUAAUCCCCGAUGUUGUUGGAUUACCGCAUGGUUUUUCAACCAAAGAAAUUCGGUAUGGGAUGGGGAUGCGUUCCAUUAGGUAGUAGGCGGGGUAACGGCCACCUAGCCGACGAUGGAUAGGGGUUCUGAGAGGAAGGUCCCCCACACUGGAACUGAGACACGGUCCAGACUCCUACGGGAGGCAGCAGUGAGGAAUAUUGGUCAAUGGCCGAGAGGCUGAACCAGCCAAGUAGCGUGAAGGAUGACUGCCCUAUGGGUUGUAAACUUCUUUUAUAUGGGAAUAAAGUGCUUUACGUGUAGGGUUUUGUAUGUACCAUAUGAAUAAGCAUCGGCUAAUUCCGUGCCAGCCGCCGCUGUAACAC
rnacentral:rRNA from 1 species